GGGGGCGCUCCCUCGCGCACCAGAUUAUUUUUGGCUCCGCAGCCGGGGCUGCUCGCUGCUUGUCGCGCGCUCACACACACACAGACACACACGCACACACACACAUGCACACAUUUUCUCGCGCUCUCUCCGGCUCUCCUUUGUUUAUUUUCUAAUCUAUAUUUUUAUUGGAAGAUUUCCUCUUUAUUCUCUCCCGCCCUCCUACAAGCGCUCUUGCUGGCCGUCUGGGUGCACACACCGCUCCCUCGAUCACCCCAGCCCCCUUCCUGGUCUCCCGAGCGCGGGGUUUGAAGGUCACCUCCUUUCCAGUCCCCGUGCGAGCCGCGCUGCCGCCGCCUCCUCCAGCCAGAGUCGGUGGGACUGGCUGCGCUGCCCUGAAGUGGUUCUCCAAGCAGCGCGGAGGGUGGCGGACGGCGGACGGAGCCCAGGGGCCGCGUCGGGUGGGGAAACCCGAACUCGCGGAGGGGAAUCCCUCCCCCUUCGCCCCAGCCCCCCAGCAGCACCCGCGGUGGGGCGGGGGCGCUCUGCCAGCCCCGGGAACAGCAGAGGCGGCGGCACUGGCUGGACCCACGCGCGCGCCUCCGGGGCUGAAGAAGGAAGGAGUGAGCCGAGCCGAGCACCCCACAUCUGGAGGGGACAGCCAGCCGUGGGCCCCGCCCCGGCGUCCGGAGCAGGAGAACUCCGAGCUUCUUGCCCAGGCAAAGAGAGCAGGAGCGGACCGCGCGCCCGGGAUUGAGAGUCCUUGCGCUCCAGACCCCCACCCAGUGGCCGCCAGGGUCCCCGCCUGUCCGGACCCUCGCCGCGCCCAGGCAGGCGCGCCAGGGCGGGGCUGACCUGCCCGCGAAGUUGCGGACAGUGCGUGAGAAGCCAGCACCCCCUUCCGCCGCCUCCAGCUUAUGGUGAGUGUGGCUGGGGGUGCAGAGAGCGCACGGGAAUUCGGGGGUCUGGGGCCGAGAACGUGACCGCAGCCGGGCUCGCCGGGAGUUCUAGAGUGAAAAGUGAGUUUGUGUUUGUGAAUGCCCUGGUG
rnacentral:lncRNA from 1 species